GAGGGGGCUCCCUGCCCCGCCCGAAGGGAAGCCUGGAAUUGCUCAUCGAGACUUAAAGUCGAAGAACAUCCUAGUGAAGAAAAAUGGAAUGUGCGCCAUUGCAGAUCUGGGCCUGGCCGUCCGUCAUGAUGCAGUCACUGACACCAUUGACAUUGCCCCAAAUCAGAGGGUGGGAACCAAACAGUAGGAAGGCCCUGGGCUUCUGCCUUUGCCCUAUACCUGCGCUGAGUGGUCCAUGUGUGUCCUUCCUUGUUGUGCAGAAGGAAGAGAAGGUCUGUUUAUCAGUUGAAUCUCAGUGAAUUUCACUAAAUUGUUCUGCUUUUUCCCUCCCCUUUGACCUGAAUGAAUGACCCAGGCUCCAAAUUGUAAGGCCUGAGGUGAUCCCCUGAUUUGUAUCAAGUCGUAUUAAUUAGCUGAGAGGGACUUUGAUGACUAUGUAGAAUAAUUUUCACAUUAUCUGCAGGAUGAAGUUUAAGCUCAGCCCAUCACUGGGGCUACAUUUAAUGAAGUCCUAGACCCCAGUAGCAACUAGAUAUUACAUAUUGUUAGUGCCCUGUGAUCCACAGUACAAAUACUCUGCCAAGAAAUCAAAACAUGCUAAAAAUCAAUCUUGGUGGUUAAAAAGUAGAGGUAUGAAUAAGAGUAGCCUAUGCUACUUCCCAAAGCUAUGCUGAAGAAUUUAGAUUCGAACCCAAAACAUGGGAGUUUGCAAUAAAUGCAUUGAUCAGUUCCUCGUCCCCAAGGGGCUUUUUUGGGGUGGUACCCACAUUCUGAGGGCUCCCGAGUCAAUGCUUUGAUUUAAGGAGAGAAGUCAUCUUUUCCUACGCAUGAUCAUGUUUCCUUUGCUGUUGCAGAUACAUGACCCCUGAAGUGCUUGAUGAAACCAUUAACAUGAAGCACUUUGACUCCUUUACUAGUAAAUGUGCUCAUAUCUAUGCCCUGGGGCUUGUAUAUUGGGAGAUUGCUUAAAGAUGCAUUUCUGGAGGUACUUUUCUCUUCUGCCUUUUCUUGCUCCUGCCUCCCAGUCUAGGAUGCUGGAUCACCUGAGGAUGCUGGUGUUCUACUGCCUCCUUUCUUUUUACAACCUGCCAGAUGCCUAGUGACAGACUCCAUCAAUCGCAGCGUUCUCAUCAAAUAUGAGGGAACCUUGGAGGUAGCUGUGCGAAGGAUCUUUGGAAUUUGCAACUGCUCACUCAUGUCAGAAUCCAGUACAAGGUAGUAUCAGAUUUAGCGGAGAACAUUUCUAUCAUCAGCUUAGUACAUCAGUGUUUUACAAUGACUUUUAAGUAUGCUGCCCUCAAGCUCAAGAACCACUGGAGCCCUGCCCUCAGCCGUUUAUCUUAAAUGUAAGAAAUUCCAGGUCAGGGGGAAUGAAUUAAGUGAAAUGAAAUGAAAUGAAAUGAAAUGAAAUGAAAUGAAUUAAAAAGAACUGGUGAGUCUUCCAGCUAGACCCCUUUCUGUGUUACUGUCUUUUUCUAUCUAUGAUAUUUUUGGUAAGAUCCAAAUUAUGGAGAAGGCACCCAGGUGUUAUUCAUAGAAUUGUACAUCUAAAAUUUUGAUCCUUACCUACAGAAAACAGAUUAAGAAAGUCAGGCCACACAGAUCUUAAACUGAGUAAGUUAAUACAUAGAGUGAUGGGAGCACAGAUGAGGUGCGGAGGGAAGGACAGGCCCCUGCCCUCCAGGGGCUCCCUGGCUGGAACGGAGUAGUAAAUAAAUAACGACCAUGGACUGAGAUAAGUGCUAUGAUAAGGGUAGACACAGAAUGCUCUGGGAACACAGGACAAACAAGAGGUUGGGGUCAAGAGAGGCGACAUCUCAUCUAUUGUGGAGCAGGCAUUGGCCUGCUGAUUAAGGAGAGGAGGGAGUUUUAGUCAAAAUCAGUGUGACACCAAGAACCACAGAUGUUCAGUAUGGCUAGUGCUUGUACUAAAAAUUAGUUAAUAAUCUUUAACACAUUUUUCCUUUCUUUGUAUUCUCAUCUAAUAUUUAUGAACAUGCAUUAGUUUUUAAUUACCCAAUUAACACAUGUGCAUGCUUGUAAAAGCUCAAAAUUGCAAAGUAUAGAAGGUAAAAGUUACAUAGAUGAACACAUGCUUCGUUUCUAUAGAGUUGUAAUUGUAUGUGUGGCUUUAUAUUUCUAUUUGUUUCGCUUAUUUUGUAAGUAUUUUCCUUAUCUUUAAUGGUCAUUAGUUUCAAUGACUGCAAAAGUUCCAAUUAUUUUGUGUCAUACUAAUUUAGCUAUUCCCCUUUAAUUAUAUGUUUUUAUUUCAUUUUUAACUAUUGUGUAAUGUUGCUAUAAAUAGAAUAUGUAUAGGUAUAUGUAUAUUUCUUCUUUUGAAUUAUUUUCUUAGAAUAUAUUUAAUUGUAGUGAUUUCUUUGCAGAGAUGAACAGAAAUUAUAAAUUUACCAUUUUAUGGAAUUUAUUGUUUUGAGGAUAUGGCCUAAAAAUGUUUGCAAAUCACUGAUUGGUUUACAACUCAGGAAAAAUUUUUCUAAGCUGAUUUUUAGAGAGGGAGGAAGGGAGAGGGAGAGAGUGAAACAUUGAUCUACUGCCUCCUGCAU